AGGCAGCAGUGGGGAAUAUUGGGCAAUGGGCGAGAGCCUGACCCAGCCAUGCCGCGUGCAGGACGAAGGCUUUCUGAGUCGUAAACUGCUUUUGCCAGGGAAGAAAAAGGGGGAUGCGUCCUUCACUGACGGUACCUGGUGAAUAAGCACCGGCUAACUCCGUGCCAGCAGCCGCGGUAAUACGGAGGGUGCAAGCGUUGUCCGGAUUUAUUGGGUUUAAAGGGUGCGUAGGCGGCCGAUUAAGUCUGGGGUGAAAGCCCGUUGCUCAACAACGGAACUGCCCUGGAAACUGGUUGGCUUGAGUACAGACGAGGGUGGCGGAAUGGAUGCUGUAGCGGUGAAAUGCAUAGAUAGCAUCCAGAACCCCGAUUGCGAAGGCAGCUGCCUAGACUGUUACUGACGCUGAGGCACGAAAGCGUGGGGAGCGAACAGGAUUAGAUACCCUGGUAGUCCACGCCGUAAACGAUGGAUACUCGCUGCCGGCGAUACAAUGUCGGUGGCUUAGCGAAAGCGUUAAGUAUCCCACCUGGGGAGUACGCUCGCAAGAGUGAAACUCAAAAGAAUUGACGGGGGCCCGCACAAGUGGUGGAGCAUGUGGUUUAAUUCGAUGAUACGCGAGGAACCUUACCUAGGCUAGAAUGCGCGUGACCGGUUCAGAGAUGAGCCUUUCCUUCGGGACACAAAGCAAGGUGCUGCAUGGCCGUCGUCAGCUCGAGCCGUGAGGUGUUGGGUUAAGUCCCGCAACGAGCGCAAAGC
rnacentral:rRNA from 1 species